AUGAUAUGCAAUAAGUGCAAAGACACAAGACAUGCUACAAAAGACUGCAAGUUGGACCAUUGUGCAGUGUGUGGAAAAAGGAAUUACAUCACAGAUGACUGCACCUGGUUGAAGCAGAUGAAGCUAGUACCAAAAUUUGUGGGAUAUGCUGCAAGAGGCUUGGGUGUGCUGCUGGUGCAAAGUUCAAAGGAUAAUGUGGAACUUGAAAAUCCCAAUCCAAUGGCCCCGGUGACUGUUAAAUCUGGGAUGCUGAAUGAAACUCAACUGCUGGAAGGACUCAACUAUAUGUUCAACUGGAACUGGCAAUGGAGAUGUAAGAAGCAAGGAAGCAGUGCCUUUUUGAUGAGAUUCCUGAACAAGGGCAGACUGAUGGAGCUGAUCAACUAUGAUGACUUCACUCUACUGGGCACUGGAGCAGUGAUAAACAUAAAGAAAUGGGCUUUUGACUCACAAGCAGUUGGGAAAUCACACACUGUCUCGGUUACUUUUGAUAAGGUGCCUGAUUGUUUCAGGCACUUCUUUGGUAUGUGUGAAGUGGUAGCAUCCUUAGGGCCAGUGCUGGAGAUUGACAUGGAUACCAUAACACAUGAGAGAAUCAGAGCAAAGGUGGGAGUUAGAGAUUUUGAAAAAAUCCCAGGUUACACUGAAAUAACUGACAGAGAUCUGAACAUUUACAGAGUUAUGCCAACUUUGGAGAAGGUGGUUGAGAUGGCUUGGUAUGGUGAUCAUAAAAGACAACAUCUAGAGGAGGCUGGGAUGGAUUGUGUGGGAGAUGAACUUAGAAAGAGACAAAAAAACACAAACAACUCAGGAGAUACCAAUAGAGAGGCUAUUAACUUAGGCAUCUUGAGCUUAGUGCAAUUUGAAGAAAUCAAAAAGAGAAGUGAUGCAGUUCUUUUGACCCAACAGGAACAGAUCAAGGAGAGAGAAGCAAGGAAAAAAGUGGAAGCGGACAUGGCAGCAGUUAUGAAGAGGAUGCAAGAAAAUGAAGAAGAGAAAGCUAGACAGAAAGCCUUAAGAGUCCAAGAGGAGAAAAGAAUUGGAGAAAUGGAGAAAGAAAGGAAAAGUCUGAUGGACUUGGUUCAUAAACAGCAGAAUAUAAUUGAUAGGUGUGUGGAAAAAGUUGAAAGAUGA
rnacentral:rRNA from 1 species